rnacentral:rRNA from 1 species
AUACGGAGGGUGCAAGCGUUACUCGGAAUCACUGGGCGUAAAGCGCGCGCAGGCGGCCAUUUAAGUUGGAUGUGAAAGCCUACGGCUCAACCGUAGAACUGCAUCCAAAACUAUUUGGCUAGAGUGUGGGAGAGGAAGAUGGAAUUAGUUGUGUAGGGGUAAAAUCCGUAGAGAUAACUAGGAAUACCAAAAGCGAAGGCAAUCUUCUGGAACACUACUGACGCUGAGUCGCGAAAGCGUGGGGAGCAAACGGGAUUAGAAACCCUAGUAGUCC